UACCGACCCUGCCGGCGAGUGUGCGGCGUUACCUCGCUCCCCCUGCUCCACGGCUGCUGGGGAGGCGGCGGCCCCUCUCCGUCUGCGGCUGGGGGCACUGCGAGAGAGAGCCCUUUCCGGGGCGCUUCCCCGUACAACCGAAGGCGAGUGCUUACCUGUGAAUUCCCGUUUUCCCCCAUUGCACAGGCGAAUAAACCCAGGCGGCUCGGCCAAGAUGUUUCAGUGUGGAGCCGAGACACCAGUUCAGAUUUUUGCCACUUAGGAAAGUGCUUCUCUGGAAUGUUGUCCACUGAGGUAAUGCUUCACCACCGCGGUUCUCCCCGUCUGUCGGCACAGUCACGGACACCCACUUCCCCAUUUCCUGCGUGCGUGGUCCUGGGGGAUUCGAGAAUAUCAUCGAUGCUUAUUCAUUCAAGAUCAGUUGCGGAACACCUACUUGGCCAAGCAAAACAGACCCUCCUCCUGAGUGUCGUCCAGGAGAGGAUGCAUUUUCUGGAACGCUGCUGUGAAGGACCCAAAUAACCACAGUGCAGUGUGUUUCCCAACUCUCACAAGCCAGAAGCUGAUUUUUGAGCUGCCCUCCUGCUCUGCCUCUGCUGCUGAAGGAAGCCUGCACUCCUGGGCACUCGCUUUUGGGCUCUGUACUGGCUUUGAGGCACAGACCUGGGAGAGACCGCAUCUUUUGGGGACCGACUCCAUCGGGAACGAAAGGACCCCCAGUCAUCUACAUAAAUGGGAUGCUUUCCCAGUUGCAGCUUCCUGACCCCUCAGAGGACAGCUGGUCUCAGAAACCUAGACCCCUUCACCUGCUGCUAUCCUCGUCUCUGCUGUUUCCAGGCUCAAGGACCCAAGAACAAAGCCCUGGCAGCAGUUCCCAGUCAAGGGUAACAUCUAUAGGACAACUCCUGGUCCACGCCUGAAUGUCUGCGGGCACAGAUGACGUGUCCUCAGAACCAGCACUUCUGUAAGCAUAGGAAAGCAUACAAAAGCCACCAAGCAGAAUCCCAGCUCUGCGUGUAUAAAAUAAAAACAAGGGAAAUGACGAGGGCACAGUGAUGCUGACGGGGCUACACAUCUGUGGGGUCACAACACAACCCCACCGUAAAAGGAGACAGAAACUACCAUCCACCAGAGGGAGGCAGCUGGGGGUCCCCAACUUCACACUCAGAACCUGAAACCCCGUGAGAACUAGUGAUCCCCUGGCAGCUGACUCACCAAAGCAGAGAGCAGAGGCAGAGCAAACACGUACGCCUCCUCAGCUGACACCUUCCCUAGCAGGCCCUUUGGGCUCUCAUCAAAGCAAAGGCCACUGGGACACUGGUCCAGGCCAUGCUUCCUGGUGGCUCGGUGUUCCUAACACUUCCUAGAAAUGGAAACGGGCUUUACCUGCAUGCGGAUGACUCAGAAUCGGAGCAGCCUAUCGACUGUGACCUGAAAUCAAAGCCCAGGACACAAGGCCAGGAAGAGCUGUUCUGAUGCGGGCAGGGGCCUGGAGAGCUGGCGGCUCGGGGCCAAGGCAUGUUAGCCCCCCAGAGCGGCAGCAGCACAACCCACUCCAAGAGAUUCCAGCAUUUUCUGAGGACUCAGCCGGCUGUGGGCCACACUGUCUCCCACCCACAAAAAGAAAGUUGUCCUGUUCUACCAAAGAGGAAACCAAGGCACAGCAUCAGGAGAGAGGGAGCCCAUCAUGUCAUGAAAUGAAACAGAAAAAGACCCAACUUUGUGACCUUCGACUGCUCUGCUCUGUUCUUAGGGUUUGACUCUGACCACUCAGAUGACAGGACCCUAGAAAUGCAGAUGAGCAGGGUUAAGAGUCUGGCAGAAAAUCCCCCAAGAACACUUAGGAAGGACGGUUCUGCUAAGAGCACCACCUGGGGUCAGCGUGGCAACCCCUCUCCUGGGCCCUUCCUCUCCUUCCCUCUUUGCUGCCUCAGUAAACCUUCUCUUUCAUGUGA